rnacentral:rRNA from 1 species
AAGCUCGUAGUUGAAUUUCGGGAUUAGUACGUCGGUCGUGCCUUAGGUACGUACUGGUGUUACUGGUUCCUACCUUCUGACGAACCAUCAUGUCAUUAAUUUGGUGUGGUGGGGAAUCAGGACUGUUACUUUGAAAAAAUUAGAGUGUUUAAAGCAGGCUCGCGCUUGAAUACAUUAGCAUGGAAUAAUGAAAUAGGACGUUGAUCCUAUUUUGUUGGUUUCUAGGAUUGACGUAAUGAUUAAUAGGGAUAGGUUGGG